UCGGGAAUCUUGCGCAAUGGGCGAAAGCCUGACGCAGCAACACCGUGUGAGCGACGAAGGCCUUCGGGUCGUAAAGCUCUGUUGUUGGGGACGAAGGGCGAAGGGUUAAUAGCCCCUAGCCUGACGGUACCCUUCGAGGAAGCCCCGGCUAACUACGUGCCAGCAGCCGCGGUAAUACGUAGGGGGCGAGCGUUGUCCGGAAUCAUUGGGCGUAAAGAGCGUGUAGGCGGUUCGGUAAGUCUGCCGUGAAAACCUAGGGCUCAACCCUGGGCGUGCGGUGGAAACUGUCGAACUAGAGGAUGGUAGAGGGGAGUGGAAUUCCCGGUGUAGCGGUGAAAUGCGCAGAUAUCGGGAGGAACACCAGUAGCGAAGGCGGCUCCCUGGGCCAUUCCUGACGCUGAGACGCGAAAGCGUGGGGAGCAAACAG
rnacentral:rRNA from 1 species